rnacentral:rRNA from 1 species
UACGAAGGGGGGCUAGCGUUGCUCGGAAUACUGGGCGUAAAGCGCACGUAGGCGGAUUGCUAAGUCAGGGGGUGAAAUCCCCCGGGCUCAACCCCGGGGAACUGCGUCCCGAUACUGGGGAGGCUUGAAUCCGGGGAGAGGGGAUGUGGAAUUCCAGGGUGUAGCGGUGAAAAUGCGUAGAUAUCUGGAGGAACACCGGUGGCGAAGGGCGGCAUCCUGGACCGACACUGACGCUGAGGAGCGAAAGCCAGGGGGAGCAAACGGGG